rnacentral:rRNA from 1 species
ACGAACGCUGGCGGCGUGCUUCACACAUGCAAUUCGCACGGAAAGGCCCUGCUUUUGUGGGGUGCUCGAGUGGCGAACGGGUGAGUAACACGUGAGUAACCUGCCCUUGACUUUGGGAUAACUUCAGGAAACUGGGGCUAAUACCGGAUAGGAGCUCCUGCUGCAUGGUGGGGGUUGGAAAGUUUCGGCGGUUGGGGAUGGACUCGCGGCUUAUCAGCUUGUUGGUGGGGUAGUGGCUUACCAAGGCUUUGACGGGUAGCCGGCCUGAGAGGGUGACCGGCCACAUUGGGACUGAGAUACGGCCCAGACUCCUACGGGAGGCAGCAGUGGGGAAUAUUGCACAAUGGGCGGAAGCCUGAUGCAGCAACGCCGCGUGCGGGAUGACGGCCUUCGGGUUGUAAACCGCUUUCGCCUGUGACGAAGCGUGAGUGACGGUAAUGGGUAAAGAAGCACCGGCUAACUACGUG